AUGAACGCUGACAGAAUGCUUAACACCUGCAAGUCGAUGGGGAAGUGGUGCUUGCACCAUGGUAACCAUGGCGGACGGGUGAGUAACGCGUAAGGAACUUACCUGCGGGACCGGGAUAACAGCAGGAAACUGCUGACAAGACCGGAUAAGGUCAUUAAGCUGCAUAGCUUAGUGAUGAAAGGAGACGCCUGCGGAGAGCCUUGCGUCCUAUUAGCUAGUUGGAGGGGUAACGGCCCACCAAGGCGAAGAUAGGUAGCCGGCCUGAGAGGGUGGACGGCCACAAGGGGACUGAGAUACGGCCCUUACUCCUACGGGAGGCAGCAGUGGGGAAUAUUGGACAAUGGGGGCAACCCUGAUCCAGCAAUUCUGUGUGCACGAAGACGGUUUUCGGAUUGUAAAGUGCUUUCAGCAGGGAAGAAGGAAGUGACGGUACCUGCAGAAGAAGCGACGGCUAAAUACGUG
rnacentral:rRNA from 1 species